AAUCCAUAGGUUAAUGAGGCGAACCGGGGGAACUGAAACAUCUAAGUACCCCGAGGAAAAGAAAUCAACCGAGAUUCCCCCAGUAGCGGCGAGCGAACGGGGAGGAGCCCAGAGCCUGAAUCAGCAUGUGUGUUAGUGGAAGCGUCUGGAAAGGCGCGCGAUACAGGGUGACAGCCCCGUACACAAAAGCGCAUGUGCUGUGAGCUCGAUGAGUAGGGCGGGACACGUGGUAUCCUGUCU
rnacentral:rRNA from 1 species